GCAAACAGGAUUAGAUACCCUGGUAGUCCACGCCGUAAACGAUGGAUACUAGGUGUAGGGGGUAUCGACCCCUUCUGUGCCGGAGUUAACACAAUAAGUAUCCCACCUGGGGAGUACGAUCGCAAGAUUGAAACUCAAAGGAAUUGACGGGGGCCCGCACAAGCAGUGGAGUAUGUGGUUUAAUUCGAAGCAACGCGAAGAACCUUACCAGGGCUUGACAUCCUGCGACGACACUAGAGAUAGUGUUUUCCUACGGGACGCAGAGACAGGUGGUGCAUGGUUGUCGUCAGCUCGUGUCGUGAGAUGUUGGGUUAAGUCCCGCAACGAGCGCAACCCCUGUUGUUAGUUGCCAUCAGGUAAAGCUGGGCACUCUAACGAGACUGCCGGUGACAAAUCGGAGGAAGGUGGGGAUGACGUCAAAUCAUCAUGCCCCUUAUGUCCUGGGCUACACACGUACUACAAUGGCUGCUACAGAGGGCAGCGAAGCCGCGAGGUGGAGCAAAUCCCUAAAGGCAGCCCCAGUUCGGAUUGCAGGCUGAAACUCGCCUGCAUGAAGUCGGAAUUGCUAGUAAUGGCAGGUCAGCAUACUGCCGUGAAUACGUUCCCGGGCAUUGUACACACCGCCCGUCACACCAUGAGAGUUUGCAACACCCGAAGUCAGUAGUCUACUUAUAGAGACGCUGCCGAAGGUG
rnacentral:rRNA from 1 species